GGAAGUGCCAUAGCUUGGUGGCAGAGCAUCUGCUUGGCAUGUAGAAGGUUGCAGGUUCUAUUCCCGGCAUCUCCA